rnacentral:rRNA from 1 species
GGACAGAAAGACCCUAUGAAGCUUUACUGUAACCUGGAAUUGGGUUUGGGCCCCUUUUGCGCAGCCUAGGUGGGAGGCUACGAAGGCUCUCUUCCGGGAGAGCUAGAGCCAUCAGUGAGAGACCACUCUGGAGGGGCUAGAAUUCUAAUGGUGCUCCUUGAAACAGGACACUUGACAGUUUCAGGUGGGCAGUUUGACUGGGGCGGCCACCUCCUAAACGGUAACGGAGGCGUACAAAGGUUUCCUCUGAACGUGUAGAAAUCGUAUCUAGAGUGUAAAGGCAUAAGGAAGCUUGACUGUGAGACCUACAAGUCGAGCAGGGACGAAAGUCGGUCUUAGAGAUCUGACGGUGCUGAGUGGAAAGGCCGUCACUCAACGGAUAAAAGUUACUCUAGGGAUAACAGGCUGA